ensembl:lncRNA
CCAUUAUCCUCUAUGCACAACUUAAGGUAUAAAAACUACUUUGGAAAAUAAAGUGCGGGCCUUGUUCACCGAAACUUGGUCUCCGCAUGUCUCUCUCUCCCCCAAAUUCUGGCUGAGUCUCCAUCUGGAGCGUGGAACCCGCCAUGCUUACUAAUUAUGCCUGGGCUUCUAAGAUCCGACCGGGGAGGCCUCAGUGUCUCCUCUCCUUCGGGAGAACGGAAGGACGCCUGCGGCCUACUUGCACAUCCAGUUCACUGAUCAACUAUCAAACUGAAGGAUAGCUUGUCAUUACAUCCGCAGUGAGUCAGUUGCCUGGGGAAAAGUACAUGUCACACAUUUACAUUUUGGCCUCAAGUUCAGCAACAGAAGCAAUCUUUGAAACAAACAGUUUCCACAUGGAUGAAGCUGCUGCUGCUGCUGCUGCUGCUAAGUCGCUUCAGUCGUGUCCGACUCUGUGAGACCCCAUGAAUUGCAGCGUGCCAGGCCUCCCUGUCCAUCAUAAGGAAAGAAAAUUGAAGUGACAUUGUCAUGCAUCAUAGGAUGGAAAUCAAUGGUUUUAUUCGCUGGAAAAUCCAGGGUUCUAAGAAUUUGCUGUUCUUCCCAAGCCCACAAACUUUCAAAAGUUCUGUUGUAGCGAUUUUGAGAACAGAGAGAGGUUCAAGGUCAAAACUGCCCCUAGCAGUUUGCACAGAGGAGCUCUGAAUAU